UACGUAGGUGGCAAGCGUUGUCCGGAAUUAUUGGGCGUAAAGCGCGCGCAGGCGGUCCUUUAAGUCUGAUGUGAAAGCCCACGGCUCAACCGUGGAGGGUCAUUGGAAACUGGGGGACUUGAGUACAGUAAGAGGAAAGCGGAAUUCCACGUGUAGCGGUGAAAUGCGUAGAGAUGUGGAGGAACACCAGUGGCGAAGGCGGCUUCUGGUCUGUAACUGACGCUGAGGCGCGAAAGCGUGGGGAGCAAACAG
rnacentral:rRNA from 1 species